CUUGGUUUUCCUGGAGAACCUGUGUCUUUGUGGCAGUGCCAACUGUCAUUCUACAUGCUGGCUUGCACCUCUUGCCUCAGAGGCCCAAAUACUCCUGUCUUGCAUGUGUCAUUUACUGAUUCACUUCCAGCUCAUCCCCUGUGAAGCAGAGAAUAUUAUCUAUUAUUAUAAUAAUGUUAUCUAUACUGUUUACACACAGGCAGGAAACAGUGAGAGAUGGACUGAGAGCAGACACAAACAGCGCUGCUGCCCAGCUGGGAAGUGCUCUGGCAUGUGCCUUCAUCGUAUCAGGGUCUCUCCAGGUGGCAGGAUGUGCCUGUUAACCCUGUGGGAUCCUCACCUUGCCCAGCAGGUUUGCUGAUGCUGCUAGCUGCCAGCAGCCCGAGUUUGACAGUUAAGAGAAAAAUCAAGUGCUUUGCUGAAGAAGCUGAACAUGGAACACUGAGGAUGGAGCUGUCGCUGCAGUGGUGAUGCCAUAACCCCAGCACGUCCCUCCUCUGAACCAAACGCAGAUGCUGUUUCACUAGGGUAACCACUGCCUAAAGCUGCCCUGAGCACACGGACCUGAGAAGUCCUGGAAACCACGCUCCCUGCAGGGCAGGCGGAAAGAGGGCUCUGGGUGUCAGCCCUGAUUUCAUGGAGAAAAGCAGCUUGUUAGACACGGACAUCAGCUGGGAGUGGAAAUUUCAGGAGAGACGUGUUGUGCCACAGAUGUCUUUAAAGUCCAUUGGUUAAAUAAUGCUUGUGUACUAGAGAGAAGGUCAUCUUCAGCAGCCUCCCUUGGUUUAAGGAAGAGUCAUGGGGUGGAAAAGAAAAAGGAUUUUUUGUAGACCCUGUCAACAGUGCUCUGAAUCCUCUUUGUGCUGGCAGAUGUGGAGAUACAGAGUGUCUCAGAUGCAGGGUGUGUGUCCACCUUCAACAUCUGUUACCAGUCCUCAUUGCCUCCUGAAAGGAUGGCUCUAUCCGUGCCCUGGGUUGUGCCCUGACUGGUACCCUGUAGGUGAUGCCUGCUCCUACAGCACAUGAACCAGCUCAAGAAAGUUCCAAGUUCAGCUGCUGCCAUUUCAGUCCAGAAGAUCCUCAAAUCUGGUGUUUUUGGUAUUAAGGAGCAGCCUCCUCUACCUGAUCUAACCAAGAUGCUGUUCAGUCAGGUAGGCUCCUUGAUAUACUUCCUUCCCUUCAUAUUUUAAUUUAGGACUGAUUUUAUCAGAAAUGUGGUGUUAUUUCCUGCUCGUACAUCUUUCUACGGUACACAGACUGAAUAUGGAAAUCUAUUGAUGGCCUUUUCCAAAGAGGAUUAUUGUAAUGCUACUGGUGUUUACAGUUACAGCCACAAACCACCUAUUCAUGGCUCCUUUUGAACUCCAUCCAACCCAACUUAUGGUAUGGAAACACCUUUAGUGUCUUCUAAACCUAAAUUCAU